UGAGUCAAAGUCAUUGUGAAUCCUCAGUUUGAAGGCGAUUCACCUUCACCCAGCAUCUUUGAAAGUUUGAGUCUUAUUAUUUCUGCCUGCGGCUCUGGCCGGCCCAUCUUCCUCCAUGUCCUCAUCCGAGGUUCAAGCAAUUGGUCAUCAUUCCUGGCCGGCUGGCCGAGGUCGAGUUCCUCCCUUAUUGAGAAUCUAUAUGGCUUUCUUCGUCUCUAUUAUUUGAUUUUUCAAUAGCCAAAAACUUGACUUUCAGGUCUGCGAGAGGUCAAUGUACUAGAGCUCAUGCCCAAAUAGGGGCUUUCUUUUCUCUUGCAUGCGCCUUCCUUCCUCAUUCAUUCAAAUCAAAGGAAGCUUCAUCGGGAAGGGAUAGGGUUGGCGGCUUGGCUUCGCUAUCGCUCAUGACUUGGUAUAGAGUCCGUGUAGUCGGUGAGUACGAGUACAGCCUAUGAAAGAGGCUUUGAGUUCCAUUACAUUGCAAAAAAGAAUUCCCGCCACUCUUCCUUCCAGUGAACCCCACGUGUCUGCCUCCGGCUUCGAAGCAGUGGGGAAGAAAAGGACUCGGCUUAACUUCACUUGGGUUCGGUUUCCCUUGUUACUAUGGGAAUGAUGGAAGUUGCUCUUCUUCCUCUUAGCGUUAGCGACUCUGAGCUCAUAGGGAGCUGGGACCAAGAAGGGAUAGAGUUGAAAGAGAGGAUUUGAUUAGCGCGCCUUCUGCCUGUCCUUUCCUGACUCUGUCGAUGGUAUGCCUGAGAUGG
rnacentral:lncRNA from 1 species